AUUGAACGCUGGCGGCAUGCCUUACACAUGCAAGUCGAACGGCAGCACGGAGCUUGCUCUGGUGGCGAGUGGCGAACGGGUGAGUAAUAUAUCGGAACGUACCCAAGAGUGGGGGAUAACGUAGCGAAAGUUACGCUAAUACCGCAUACGAUCUAAGGAUGAAAGUGGGGGCUCGCAAGACCUCAUGCUCCUGGAGCGGCCGAUAUCUGAUUAGCUAGUUGGUGAGGUAAAGGCUCACCAAGGCAUCGAUCAGUAGCUGGUCUGAGAGGACGACCAGCCACACUGGAACUGAGACACGGUCCAGACUCCUACGGGAGGCAGCAGUGGGGAAUUUUGGACAAUGGGGGCAACCCUGAUCCAGCAAUGCCGCGUGAGUGAAGAAGGCCUUCGGGUUGUAAAGCUCUUUUGUCAGGGAAGAAACGGUGAAGGCUAAUAUCCUUUGCUAAUGACGGUACCUGAAGAAUAAGCACCGGCUAACUACGUGCCAGCAGCCGCCGCAGUAA
rnacentral:rRNA from 1 species